UAGUUUCAUCACAUCUAUAGA
rnacentral:piRNA from 1 species